AGUGAACGCUGGCGGUAGGCAUAACUCAGGAAAGUCGAACGGUAUCACAGUAAGAGCUUGCUCUUACGGGUGGCGAGUGGCGGACUGGUGAGGAAUACAUCGGAAUCUACUUUUUCGUGGGGGAUAACGUAGGGAAACUUACGCUAAUACCGCAUACGACCUACGGGUGAAAGCAUGGGAUCUUCGGACCUUGCGCGAUUGAAUGAGCCGAUGUCGGAUUAGCUAGUUGGCGGGGUAACGCCCCACCAAGGCGACGAUCCGUAGCUGGUCUGAGAGGAUGAUCAGCCACACUGGAACUGAGACACGGGCCAGACUCCUACGGGAGGCAGCAGUGGGGAAUAUUGGACAAUGGGCGCAAGCCUGAUCCAGCCAUACCGCGUGGGUGAAGAAGGCCUUCGGGUUGUAAAGCCCUUUUGUUGGGAAAGAAAAGCAGCAGGUUAAUACCCCGCUGUUCUGACGGUACCCAAAGAAUAAACCCCGGCUAACUGAGC
rnacentral:rRNA from 1 species